rnacentral:rRNA from 1 species
AAUACAGAGACUGCAAGCGUUAUUCGGAUUCACUGGGCGUAAAGGGUGCGCAGGCGGCCGUGUGUGUGAGGCGUGAAAGCCCGGGGCUUAACCCCGGAAUUGCACCUCAAACUACAUGGCUAGAGCAUUGGAGAGGGUAGCAGAAUUCAUGGUGUAGCAGUGAAAUGCGUAGAUAUCAUGAGGAAUACCAGAGGCGAAGGCGGCUACCUGGACAAUUGCUGACGCUCAGGCACGAAAGCGUGGGGAGCAAAAGG